ACAGGGAAAAUAAGUCUCUAAGAAGUGAAUGGAGUUUACCUGAGUGCAUAUAGCUGCUAAAUAGAAGAAGAACCAGCAUUCAAACACAGCCAGCAUAACCGGCAGCUAGCACAUGUACUGAAUGCCAAAGAUGAAGUUUUCCAAAUAAAAGAAGCUGAAAGGCCUUGAAAGACUCUGGAGCAUAAUUGUCAAACUGUAAUUACUAAUCAAGUCAUGGGGCAGCAGACCUCUUGGAAUGGUUAUUGUGGCAGAAACAGAACUAGGGGCACCUUCAAAAGUCCUGAGUGGGCCUCUUGAUUUGACUUCUUUUUGGUUAACUUCUUGAUAAACCAUUUCUGGAGAGGAACCACCUCUAAGGAGAGAAGCCUCUGCCCUUCUCCCCUUCCGAGUCUGACAAUGCAAUCCAUGAAUCUGGGAAUCUUGGAGGAGAGUCCGUGUCAGAUUUUUGCAUCCAGCACCAAUACCCCAAGGAGUGAUGAGCAACCCGUGGGACCUCGCACAGGGAACUAGCACCAGGCAGUAUUUGGAUGUGAACUUGAUGUAUAAAAACUGCUUUGAAUCUGAGUCCACUCUUGAGAAUUGAGGGGGUAUGAGGGAGAGGAUGCUGCUGAAGUUUUGGAGGGGGGUUACUUUAGUUCUUGCUGUAUCCCUGAAGUCCAUAUCACUUUGAAAAAGCUAAUUGAUGUUAAUUAUUAUAACUGGAACUGGGGCAUUAGUAACUGGUGGCUAACAGUGGAGGGAACAUAGCUCAUGAAGGCUCAACCUGAAAGUAUUAGAUAAGACUCCCCAAUCUCUCAAGGGUUUUGCAAGUAUCCAGUGGGGGAGAUGUAGCCAGCCUGACUCUUGGAUAGUAAGCCUAGAGAGAACUUGCUCCUCCAGUACCAAAUAAGGUACUGAUCAACUUAAAUUCUCCAGAGACUUGAUUCCUAGAUAUAUAAUAUCACUGUAUAUAAUGC